AUGAAGAAGCUCCAACCGUUCUGGUUGCCCAUGGUGGGCUUAUUCCAGAACUCUUGGCUACCGUGGCAACAAGGCUUGGCCUUCAGCUGUUGUCCUUUCCAGCUAACUAGUAAAUGUAUUUGCAUAUCUGGAUGGGUAGGGAGAGCUCCUCCUCUUCCUUCUGCACAAAAGACUAGAGGCACAUGAAGACAGAAUAUGACCCUGGUUGCAGAGGCUGACCUGAUCCUAUGGAAAGGAUUAACUUCUGACCCCGGAGAUGCUUUCAGUUGCCCUCAUGUUCUCAUGCUUUGCUUUGUUAGCCUUCAUACUUACCAUGCCUCUUUCCUCUAAAGAUCUCAAAGGCUCUGAAACUCAUGUUAUUGUCAGAGGGAUGUGACUCAAAUAUAUGCAGAUUUAACUUGAAAUCUUAAAGAAGCAUGAGUAAUUUAGGGGAAGCCUUGCUUAGUCGGUGCCGACUUGCUUCUUUUCCCUGUGGUGAGCAUGAAUUUUCUGAAUCAGCUAGUGUACUCUCUGAAGUAGAAUGGUGACCUGGCACCUCUUUUUGUUGAAUCAGAGGGUGCUGUGUGCUCACGUUUCCUUUGGGUUGAGUGUCUACAUGAAGAUCUUUCACGAGUACUUUUUAUUCGUGGAACGCAUCAGAUAACAAGCAGUGGCAAAGGCUAACUCCGAGGGAUGCCAGCAGGACUACUCGCUCAGAGGAAAUAGUUGGUGAUAAAGAAUCAUCUGCAGCUAAAGGCUUUUAUUUCCCCUUCCCAGCUUGUUUCAUGUUUAAAUAUUGCUUAUACGGGGGGAAAAAAAAGCCAGUGAUAUUUUGAGUGUGUGUGCAUUAUUUUUUAAGUCGAGGUGAUUCUAAUAUGAUCAGCAGAAAUCGUGAAUGACUAAUUUGGGUUCUGCUUGUUACAAAAACAUCUGUGUGAUUUCUUUUUCUGAUAAGUACAUUUGAUUGAGGGUAUUCCAGAAAAUUCUGCUUUUUACAUUUAAAUACUCUCGGGAAAUAUUUAUUUAUGCUUAUUGUGUACAAAGCUCUGUACUAGACACUGGGGAGGGAGGUUAUCGGAAGGAAAGAGGAAAGAGACGUCAAGAAAACUACAACUCUCGCAAGUGCUUAGUAUCUGGAAGAGAAGGCAUCGCAUAUAUACGCUGGAAGGAGGGGAGAGUGGUUGGUCUCUUAUAUCGACUAUGUGUGAUAUGAAAUCUCCAGUUUCCAAACAGGGACCUUGAGGUUGGAAUUAUCGCUGCUAACACAUCUGGUUCUAGCAAUACCCUUUCACAUCUUCUGAUUCCAAAUAUUCCUGCAACCAUCACACGUCAUUAAUCAGCCCAUGCUAGAUGGAUAUUAGCCAAGUGAACUGAAAGUAAUAGAAAAUACGAAGAAGAGGGGAAAACAUCUUCCAAACAAUGUAAAGCUCUUUUACUUUCUAGUUUUAGUGCUAACUUCGUGCGCUUUCUGUUCUGAGCAACGGUGUCCUAACUCUCGUCUCCCUUGUUCACCUCUACCCCAAAAUACAGCUACCAAGUAGCUAUUUAAAAAUAAUCAUUACUCAGGGGAAGAAAUAAUGAAAGAAUCGUGUUAAAGUCUUUUUGCUGUGAAGGAAAAGGGAGAAGGGAAGAAUUUUCUAGGGGAAAGCGAAAUAAAUUUUUGUAGAAUCUUAGACUCA
ensembl:lncRNA